UGAUCGUAGUAUCAGACUGGAAGGUAGGUCUACACUGCACUGCUCACCAUGAUCGUAGUAUCAGACUGGAAGGUAGGUCUACACUGCACUGCUCACCAUGAUCGUAGUAUCAGACUGGAAGGUAGGUCUACACUGCACUGCUCACCAUGAUCGUAGUAUCAGACUGGAAGGUAGGUCUACACUGCACUGCUCACCAUGAUCGUAGUAUCAGACUGGAAGGUAGGUCUACACUGCACUGCUCACCAUGAUCGUAGUAUCAGACUGGAAGGUAGGUCUACACUGCCCUGCUC